rnacentral:rRNA from 1 species
CAGUCGCCACGGUAAUACGAAGGGGGCUAGCGUUGUUCGGAAUUACUGGGCGUAAAGCGCACGCAGGCGGUCUGUCAAGUCAGAUGUGAAAUCCCCGGGCUUAACCUGGGAACUGCAUUUGAAACUGGCAGGCUAGAGUCUUGUAGAGGGGGGUAGAAUUCCAGGUGUAGCGGUGAAAUGCGUAGAGAUCUGGAGGAAUACCGGUGGCGAAGGCGGCCCCCUGGACAAAGACUGACGCUCAGGUGCGAAAGCGUGGGGAGCAAACAGGAUUAGAUACCCCUGUAGUCCCUGUCUCUUAUAC